UUCACUCUUGGUCUUCCCAUACACACACUCAUCAAAACACAGUGCAGCUCUUUUUAAGCACACAUUGUCUGGUAAAACUUUCAAUCAUGAGUUUUUUCUUCCAGAUCUUCUGUAAUGUUGCUGUUUCUCUCCUACUGCUAUCGCUUAGUGUUAGCGGCACCUCAAAUGGGACUGAGCCGCACUGUGAUGUAAAGCUGAAAGUGCCACGACAAACAAUCUUUAAAGCUCGUAUUAUGACACAGCUAAAGAUAAACUGUACUGUAACUCAUAAUGGAUGUCAGUGGAACCCAAUAAUCUCAUGGUGCAAAAUCUAUGGAGAUCACUGUAAAGCUUUAAAUCACUCAGACCUUAUAAAGAUGGAGUGUAGAAAUACAGCACAGCAUGAAGGGAUGGCUUUCCUGAUUUUCCAGAACAUCACAAUGGAGAAUUCAGGUUCAUACAGAUGUACACAUGGUGACACGUCUGUAAGCCAUGCUAUUAAUGUUACCAUUACAGGAAAUGGUGAAGAUGAAUUUUCACACAAUCAAAGUAACAAAAGUAAAUGAUUUUAAUUCAGUUCCAGACAAUGGUCUGAAGUGGUUGUGGCCAUAUGUGUACAUCUGCAGUGGAAUAGCGGCGCUGGUGAUCAUCAUUAUAACCAUAACAUUAUUUGUCUUCAAUUGCCAAGACACAAAAUCCAAAACAGAAGAACUGACAAAUAAAAAUCAGUACAUGGAAACUCAAAGUAGUGACCUGCUUCCUCCUCCUCUUCCUCAUCCCCGUCACGACACCCGCUCUCUUUCACAGCAGAGAGGGUCUGCUUUAGAUCGUGGCUCUGAAAUUCCACCGG
ensembl:processed_transcript